UUAGCUCUCUUCUCUAAGAAACAAAACUGAACCAAACAAUAUUGGGCACCAGAAAGGAGGAGUAACUGCUGAGGGAAAAGAUGAAGGAAUAUAUGAUCAAGAAGAGUGGGGAAAAGCAAAUUCCUUUCUAAUCUUGGAGGAUGGAGAAGAGGAGAGAAACAGGAAAUGAGAUGGAAGGAGGAAAGACGUCACCAAGGAGGUGUCUCCAUGUCUCUUCCUGAGACUCCAGCCCACGUAAAGGGCCAAAUUAAAUAAAACGCCUUAUUGAUCUGGAUUGAAUUUCAAUUUGCUAAGGUUGGUGCCAGCCAACUCCUGUCCUGCAAUGUCUGAAGAGAAAUGCUUGCAAGUCCAAUAACCUAUUCAUCACAGGGGGUGUCUCGACCCCAGUCUUGUCCUCCGAAUCAGUAGUACAGUGCCUCAAAAAGCCCUCAGAACCACGUCUGCCUGCCAAGGCAAAAGCAGAUACAAAAGAAGAGAAGUCACAUGGUGUUAUCUCCAAAAGACUGUGCUUAUCUUGAAUACUUGAAAAACAGAAUGAGUCUUGAUGAGGAAGAAUUACAGUCUUAGCAUAUUCAGGACGCCCUGGCUACCUCAGUAAGGCAUGUUGAAUAGGGCAUCUGGUGAGAGAUGGUGAAUCCUUCAAGCAGCCACUGUUCAUCUUGCUCCCACCACAUGGAAGCCACUAUAAUAGACAUUCAGACAAAUAAAGAGGAAGAUCGAUAUGAAAA